UAGAGCUAAUACAUGCAACCAAGCUCCGACCUUCGUGGGAAGAGCGCUCUUAUUAGACCGAGGCCAACCUGCUGGGCAACUGGCAGUUUGCUGUGGUGACUCUGAAUAAGCACAGUUGAUCGCACGACUCUACGUCGGCGACGUAUCUUUCAAGCGUAUGCCCUAUCAGCUGUCGACGGUAGGGUAGUGGCCUACCGUGGCAUCAACGGGUAACGGGGGAUCAGGGUCCGAUCCCGGAGAGUAAGCCUGAGAGACGGCUUACACAUCUAAGGAAGGCAGCAGGCGCGCAAAUUACCCAAUGGGGACACCCUGAGGUAGUGACAAGAAAUAACAAUACGCGACUCUUUCGAGGCCGCGUAAUUGGAAUGAGCACAGUCUAAAUCCUUUAGCGAGGAUCAAUUGGAGGGCAAGUCUGGUGCCAGCAGCCGCGGUAAUUCCAGCUCCAAUAGCGUAUAUUAAAGUUGCUGCAGUUAAAAAGCUCGUAGUUGACAAUCGGUGCUCGUCUCGGCGGUCCUGUUCACGCAGGCACUGCCUUGAUGGCCUCUACACACUGGCUUGAGGUCGGGCAGGCUGGGCAACUGGCGGUUCGACCAAAGCCCCGGGUGCCCUUUAUUGGGUGCCCGUGGGUGGCCUUUGCGUUUACUUUGAAGAAAUUAGAGUGUUCAAAGCGGGCUAUCUAUAGCUCGGAUACUCGUACAUGGAAUAAUGGAAUAGGACCCUGGGUCAUUUCCGUUGGUCUAUGGCCAUUGGGUAAUGAUUAAAAGGGACUGCCGGGGGCAUUGGUAUGGUGGGGGGAGAGGUGAAAUUCCGUGAUCCUCGCCAGACCAACUACAGCGAAAGCAUUUGCCAAGAAUGUCUUCAUUAAUCAAGAACGAAAGUCAGAGGUUCGAAGACGAUCAGAUACCGUCGUAGUUCUGACCAUAAACGAUGCCAGCUUGGAAGUGGCGAUGGUUGUAUUUCAUGACCCCGCCACGGCCCGUCGGGAAACCAUAAGCGUUUGGGUUCCGGGGGAAGUAUGGUUGCAAAGCUGAAACUUAAAGGAAUUGACGGAAGGGCACCACCAGGAGUGGAGCCUGCGGCUUAAUUUGACUCAACACGGGAAAACUCACCCGGCCCGGACACUGCAAGGAUUGACAGAUUGAGAGCUCUUUCUCGAUUCSGUGGAUGGUGGUGCAUGGCCGUUCUUAGUUGGUGGAGUGAUUUGUCUGGUUAAUUCCGAUAACGAACGAGACUCUAGCCUACUAACUAGUUCGCCGAUCUGCUUCUGUGGGUCGGUAAUAAACUUCWUAGAGGGACAAGUGGCGCUUAGCCACGCGAGAUGGAGCAAUAACAGGUCUGUGAUGCCCUUAGAUGUCCGGGGCCGCACGCGCGCUACACUGAAAGAAUCAACGU
rnacentral:rRNA from 1 species